GGUCACUUAUAAUUUACUUUACCAUUUCUGCUGUUAAAUAUAAUGAACAGUACAGGAUACUUGAAACAGGCUUCUCAUAAAUGUCAGUGUCUACUAGACUUGGGAUCUCAUUAACAAUAAAGAAGGGUUCUGGGUGUGAAAAAUCUCUCUUCUCAGGCUACUGGGAAGAAGAUCUUUUUAAUCCCUAGAAAAUGUGAAAAUAGUUUAAUUGCAUUUGUGUAAUGGUGAAAAGAGUGUAGAGGUGAGAAUUACAAAUGCCGAGAUUAGAUAAGCUUAUAUGAAUGAAUCAUCUAAGUGACUACUAAGUUUUUUCUUACAAGCUAUGCUUGGAGCACACAGAGAGGAGGAAGGAAACAGGAGUGAAAGCUGUUCUUCUAAUCAGUUUUCUGUAUGGGCAGCUUGGUACCUCGUAGAUGGGAUGGACAAGCUCUAUGUGCUAGUGUUCUAUUGCUCCAGAAAUAACUUGUGUCCUGCACGUUCUUUAGUGUUGACAGGUAGUGCAUACUAAUGAGCUGCUUGAAAAGAGAAACAAUACUGAUAUGAAAAGCUAUACAGAAAACUAGCCUUAAGAGUUUGGGGAAUGGGG
rnacentral:lncRNA from 1 species